AUACUUACCUGGCAGAGGAGAUACCAUGGUCAGGAAGGGGGCUUUUUCAGGGCAAGGCUAAUCCAUUGCACUCCAGAUGUGCUGACCCUGAGAUUUCCCCACAUUUGGGAAACUCAACUGCAUAACUUGUGGUAGUGGGGAACUGUGUUCACACUCUCCCCUU
ensembl:snRNA U1 U1 spliceosomal RNA